rnacentral:rRNA from 1 species
GACGACUCUCGGCAACGGAUAUCUCGGCUCUCGCAUCGAUGAAGAACGUAGCGAAAUGCGAUACUUGGUGUGAAUUGCAGAAUCCCGCGAACCAUCGAGUCUUUGAACGCAAGUUGCGCCCGAGGCCACCCGGCCGAGGGCACGCCUGCCUGGGCGUCACGCC